UUACGGCAAGAAUGAAGAAAAAAAAUUAGAUGUGCGAGGGGUGUAUUCCUCUAUGAGCUUAACAUCGAGGCAUAUUUAUAGUUGACUUGCCUUUA
rnacentral:snoRNA from 1 species